rnacentral:rRNA from 2 species
UCCCGUAUUUCCAGCGAAGGGGCAACACCUGUUCCCAUCCCGAACACAGCCGUUAAGCCCUUCAGCGCCGAUGGUAGUGCCUGUAAACCAACGGGUGCAAGAGUAGGCCAAUGCGGGAA